UGACAGGGUAGAAGUCUUUUGUCAGCCCUCGUUGUCUUGUAACAGAUGCCUGGAGCAAGAGGGAAGGAGGGCAGGAAGUACCUGGUUUGCAGGGGGAGGAGAAAGGGAAACCGGUGUGAGCUACGCUGACCAUGAUUCCACAGUGCUUGCUGCUGCCCACCAGAUAUCCUGAGCGUCAUUUGAUCCUUAAGAACUCCAAAAAGGUUGAGGCUUUCAAUGAGAGAGGAGUAAUCCAUUUAUGCAGUUGUUUGGAGGCUGGAGGCCAAGCAUGUGGGAAAUAUUUCUUUGGAUUUGACCCAAGGAGCAGAUGGAAACAGGCACAAGGCACAAGGGGACUCUUCUGGCUAGUCAGUGGAUACUUGUCAGUUUCCUGCUUCCAGUCUAAAGCUUCAUCUUUCUCCCCUGUGACACCAUGUCUUUAGUCUGCCUGUCUCCUGAGGAGAGCUGGGCUGUGACAGAAGACUAGGAUGAAUCAUGCAAACCUCAGAAUGGCGUGCUGCUGGUUAGGGAGUGCCCUCAACUUGGGCUGCUUGGUUAGUGUUUGAGGUGUGGUGCUGAAUAAAAUCUUGUGCCACACACCCUGCCCUAA